CAGCAGCCACGGGAAUACGGAGGGUGCAAGCGUUAAUCGGAAUUACUGGGCGUAAAGCGCACGCAGGCGGUCUGACAAGUCAGAUGUGAAAUCCCCGGGCUUAACCUGGGAACUGCAUUUGAAACUGUCAGGCUGGAGUCUUGUAGAGGGGGGUAGAAUUCCAGGUGUAGCGGUGAAAUGCGUAGAGAUCUGGAGGAAUACCGGUGGCGAAGGCGGCCCCCUGGACAAAGACUGACGCUCAGGUGCGAAAGCGUGGGGAGCAAACAGGAUUAGAUACCCCAGUAGUCCCUGUCUCUUAUCA
rnacentral:rRNA from 1 species